CAUCUCCGGGGGUAGAGCACUGUUUCGGCUAGGGGGCCAUCCCGGCUUACCAACCCGAUGCAAACUGCGAAUACCGGAGAAUGUUAUCACGGGAGACACACGGCGGGUGCUAACGUCCGUCGUGAAGAGGGAAACAACCCAGACCGCCAGCUAAGGUCCCAAAGUCAUGGUUAAGUGGGAAACGAUGUGGGAAGGCCCAGACAGCCAGGAUGUUGGCUUAGAAGCAGCCAUCAUUUAAAGAAAGCGUAAUAGCUCACUGGUCGAGUCGGCCUGCGCGGAAGAUGUAACGGGGCUAAACCAUGCACCGAAGCUGCGGCAGCGACGCUGAUGCGUUGUUGGGUAGGGGAGCGUUCUGUAAGCCUGCGAAGGUGGCCUGUGAGGGUUGCUGGAGGUAUCAGAAGUGCGAAUGCUGACAUAAGUAACGAUAAAGCGGGUGAAAAGCCCGCUCGCCGGAAGACCAAGGGUUCCUGUCCAACGUUAAUCGGGGCAGGGUGAGUCGACCCCUAAGGCGAGGCCGAAAGGCGUAGUCGAUGGGAAACGGGUUAAUAUUCCCGUACUUGGUGUUACUGCGAAGGGGGGACGGAGAAGGCUAUGUUGGCCGGGCGACGGUUGUCCCGGUUUAAGCGUGUAGGUGUGUGUUCCAGGUAAAUCCGGUUCACUUUAACACUGAGGCGUGAUGACGAGGCACUACGGUGCUGAAGCAACAAAUGCCCUGCUUCCAGGAAAAGCCUCUAAGCAUCAGGUAACAUCAAAUCGUACCCCAAACCGACACAGGUGGUCAGGUAGAGAAUACCAAGGCGCUUGAGAGAACUCGGGUGAAGGAACUAGGCAAAAUGGUGCCGUAACUUCGGGAGAAGGCACGCUGACACGUAGGUGAAGUGAUUUACUCAUGGAGCUGAAGUCAGUCGAAGAUACCAGCUGGCUGCAACUGUUUAUUAAAAACACAGCACUGUGCAAACACGAAAGUGGACGUAUACGGUGUGACGCCUGCCCGGUGCCGGAAGGUUAAUUGAUGGGGUCAGCGCAAGCGAAGCUCCUGAUCGAAGCCCCGGUAAACGGCGGCCGUAACUAUAACGGUCCUAAGGUAGCGAAAUUCCUUGUCGGGUAAGUUCCGACCUGCACGAAUGGCGUAAUGAUGGCCAGGCUGUCUCCACCCGAGACUCAGUGAAAUUGAACUCGCUGUGAAGAUGCAGUGUACCCGCGGCAAGACGGAAAGACCCCGUGAACCUUUACUAUAGCUUGACACUGAACAUUGAGCCUUGAUGUGUAGGAUAGGUGGGAGGCUUUGAAGUGUGGACGCCAGUCUGCAUGGAGCCGGCCUUGAAAUACCACCCUUUAAUGUUUGAUGUUCUAACGUGGACCCGUGAUCCGGGUUGCGGACAGUGUCUGGUGGGUAGUUUGACUGGGGCGGUCUCCUCCUAAAGAGUAACGGAGGAGCACGAAGGUUGGCUAAUCCUGGUCGGACAUCAGGAGGUUAGUGCAAUGGCAUAAGCCAGCUUGACUGCGAGCGUGACGGCGCGAGCAGGUGCGAAAGCAGGUCAUAGUGAUCCGGUGGUUCUGAAUGGAAGGGCCAUCGCUCAACGGAUAAAAGGUACUCCGGGGAUAACAGGCUGAUACCGCCCAAGAGUUCAUAUCGACGGCGGUGUUUGGCACCUCGAUGUCGGCUCAUCACAUCCUGGGGCUGAAGUAGGUCCCAAGGGUAUGGCUGUUCGCCAUUUAAAGUGGUACGCGAGCUGGGUUUAGAACGUCGUGAGACAGUUCGGUCCCUAUCUGCCGUGGGCGCUGGAGAACUGAGGGGGGCUGCUCCUAGUACGAGAGGACCGGAGUGGACGCAUCACUGGUGUUCGGGUUGUCAUGCCAAUGGCACUGCCCGGUAGCUAAAUGCGGAAGAGAUAAGUGCUGAAAGCAUCUAAGCACGAAACUUGCCCCGAGAUGAGUUCUCCCUGAGACUUAGAGUCUCCUGAAGGAACGUUGAAGACGACGACGUUGAUAGGCCGGGUGUGUAAGCGCAGCGAUGCGUUGAGCUAACCGGUACUAAUGAACCGUGAGGCUUAACCUUACA
rnacentral:rRNA from 1 species